ACCAGGGUGGUGCAAUGGUUAGCACAUCUGCCUAGUGAGCUGGAGCCCCGGGUUCGAAUCCUGACCUUGGCA